rnacentral:rRNA from 1 species
UACGUAGGGUGCGAGCGUUGCCCGGAUUUAUUGGGCGUAAAGGGCGCGUAGGCGGCUCGGCACGUCCGUUGUGAAAUCGCCCGGCUCAACUGGGGAGAGUCACGCGAUACUGAUCGACUCGAAGGCAGGAGAGGGUAGUGGAAUUCCCGGUGUAGUGGUGAAAUGCGUAGAUAUCGGGAGGAACACCAGUGGCGAAGGCGACUACCUGGGCUGUUCUUGACGCUGAGGCGCGAAAGCUAGGGGAGCAAACGGG